rnacentral:rRNA from 1 species
CUCAGGAUGAACGCUGGCGGCGUGCCUAAUACAUGCAAGUCGAACGAGUUCUCGUUGAUGAUCGGUGCUUGCACCGAGAUUCAACAUGGAACGAGUGGCGGACGGGUGAGUAACACGUGGGUAACCUGCCCUUAAGUGGGGGAUAACAUUUGGAAACAGAUGCUAAUACCGCAUAGAUCCAAGAACCGCAUGGUUCUUGGCUGAAAGAUGGCGUAAGCUAUCGCUUUUGGAUGGACCCGCGGCGUAUUAGCUAGUUGGUGAGGUAAUGGCUCACCAAGGCGAUGAUACGUAGCCGAACUGAGAGGUUGAUCGGCCACAUUGGGACUGAGACACGGCCCAAACUCCUACGGGAGGCAGCAGUAGGGAAUCUUCCACAAUGGACGCAAGUCUGAUGGAGCAACGCCGCGUGAGUGAAGAAGGCUUUCGGGUCGUAAAACUCUGUUGUUGGAGAAGAAUGGUCGGCAGAGUAACUGUUGUCGGCGUGACGGUAUCCAACCAGAAAGCCACGGCUAACUACGUGCCAGCAGCCGCGGUAAUACGUAGGUGGCAAGCGUUAUCCGGAUUUAUUGGGCGUAAAGCGAGCGCAGGCGGUUUUUUAAGUCUGAUGUGAAAGCCCUCGGCUUAACCGAGGAAGCGCAUCGGAAACUGGGAAACUUGAGUGCAGAAGAGGACAGUGGAACUCCAUGUGUAGCGGUGAAAUGCGUAGAUAUAUGGAAGAACACCAGUGGCGAAGGCGGCUGUCUGGUCUGUAACUGACGCUGAGGCUCGAAAGCAUGGGUAGCGAACAGGAUUAGAUACCCUGGUAGUCCAUGCCGUAAACGAUGAAUGCUAGGUGUUGGAGGGUUUCCGCCCUUCAGUGCCGCAGCUAACGCAUUAAGCAUUCCGCCUGGGGAGUACGACCGCAAGGUUGAAACUCAAAGGAAUUGACGGGGGCCCGCACAAGCGGUGGAGCAUGUGGUUUAAUUCGAAGCAACGCGAAGAACCUUACCAGGUCUUGACAUCUUUUGAUCACCUGAGAGAUCAGGUUUCCCCUUCGGGGGCAAAAUGACAGGUGGUGCAUGGUUGUCGUCAGCUCGUGUCGUGAGAUGUUGGGUUAAGUCCCGCAACGAGCGCAACCCUUAUGACUAGUUGCCAGCAUUUAGUUGGGCACUCUAGUAAGACUGCCGGUGACAAACCGGAGGAAGGUGGGGAUGACGUCAAAUCAUCAUGCCCCUUAUGACCUGGGCUACACACGUGCUACAAUGGAUGGUACAACGAGUUGCGAGACCGCGAGGUCAAGCUAAUCUCUUAAAGCCAUUCUCAGUUCGGACUGUAGGCUGCAACUCGCCUACACGAAGUCGGAAUCGCUAGUAAUCGCGGAUCAGCACGCCGCGGUGAAUACGUUCCCGGGCCUUGUACACACCGCCCGUCACACCAUGAGAGUUUGUAACACCCGAAGCCGGUGGCGUAACCCUUUUAGRGAGCGAGCCGUCUAAGGUGGGACAAAUGAUUAGGGUGAAGUCGUAACAAGGUAACCGU